UCGUGCUAUUUUAAUUUUAUUUAAAGUCGGAACAUUUAAGUGACUAUUUAUUGUUUUAUUUACAAAAUAUCUUAAAAUACCUGUGCAUUUAUUGUAACAUUAAAUGUUCUACAUCGGACGUUGCGAUUUCAUUAUUGUAUUUUAGAUCUAUUUUUAAGUUUAUGAUGAGGUACAACCGUUUCAGGACAUAAAGACAUUUUAACGCAGUUGAGCUUGAGGGUACACCCUUUAUUGUUGACGGAAUAGUGAGUAACAUCGUAAAUCUGAUGCUGCAGUGCAGGCUACAUGGGUUCGUCACCAAAUUACACCUGUUGUGCUACCACACCUCGCAAACGUCAACACACCUAUGAUAUAUGCUGGCCCAAAUGUUUUCUCUUUAGUAUCUUCAUAUUGACCCAAAACGCAUCACAUAGAGCACUGCAAGGAUUAUCUCAAGGGAUAUCGUUUGUUAUUUAUGGUUAUGACUUUGAAGAGCAGGAGGAGCAAUUUUUUUCUUUUCAGGCAAGAUGGCACUAGGAAAUUUUUAUACACCCUAUUGUGCUUUUGGUGUGCGGUUCAUUCUACAACUAGAGUUCAAGGUCAAACGACGGCAGAGGCAGAGCCCACUGUGUCAACUGCAUCCACUGCUGGAACUUCAGAAACAACAGCUUUAACAACGGAGGCACCAACAACACUUCCUUCAACAGUGUCAACAUCUUCAGAAACAACUGUAUCUACAACCACAACUGAACCUACCACUACUACACCAGAGUCAACAACAUCAGAGGCAACAACAACACUUCCCUCAACAACAGCACCAACAUCUUCAGAAACAACAACUGCAGCUGAAACAACAACUACACCAUCUAUAACUACAACUGAGCCUUCUACUACAUCAGCGUCGACAACAACAGAAUCAACAACAGUUACUUCAACAACAGCGCAAACAUCUUCAGAAACAACAACUGCAGCUGAAACAACAACUACACCAUCCAUAACUACAACUGAGACUUCUACUACAUCAGCUUCAACAACAACAGAAUCAACAACAACACUUCCCUCAACAACAGUGCCAACAUCUUCAGAAACAACGACUGCAGCUGAAACAACAACUACACCAUCUAUAACUACAACUGAGCCUUCUACUACAUCAGCGUCGACAACAACAGAAUCAACAACAGUUACUUCAACAACAGCGCAAACAUCUUCAGAAACAACAACUGCAGCUGAAACAACAACUACACCAUCUAUAACUACAACUGAGCCUUCUACUACAUCAGCUUCGACAACAACAGAAUCAACAACAACACUUACUUCAACAACAGUGCCAACAUCUUCAGAAACAACAACUGCAGCUGAAACAACAACUACAACAUCCAUAACUACAACUGAGCCUUCUACUACAUCAGCUUCAACAACAACAGAAUCAACAACAGUGACUUCAACAACAGCGCAAACAUCUUCAGAAACAACGACUGCAGCUGAAACAACAACUACAACAUCUAUAACCACAACUGAGCCUUCUACUACAUCAGCUUUGACAACAACAGAAUCAACAACACUUCCCUCAACAACAGCGCCAACAUCUUCAGAAACAACGACUACAGCUGAAACAACAACUACAACAUCUAUAACUACAACUGAGCCUUCUACUACAUCAGCUUUAACAACAACAGAAUCAACAACAACACUUACUUCAACAACAGCGCCAACAUCUUCAGAAACAACAACUGCAGCUGAAACAACAACUACAACAUCCAUAACUACAACUGAGCCUUCUACUACAUCAGCUUCAACAACAACAGAAUCAACAACAACACUUUCCUCAACAACAGCGCCAACAUCUUCAGAAACAACGACUGCAGCUGAAACAACAACUACACCAUCUAUAACUACAACAGAGCCUUCUACAACAUCAGCUUCCACAACAACAGAAUCAACAACACUUCCCUCAACAACAGCGCCAACAUCUUCAGAAACAACAACUGCAGCUGAAACAACAACUACAACAUCCAUAACUACAACUGAGCCUUCUACUACAUCAGCUUCAACAACAACAGAAUCAACAACAACACUUUCCUCAACAACAGUGCCAACAUCUUCAGAAACAACGACUGCAGCUGAAACAACAACUACACCAUCUAUAACCACAACUGAGUCUUCUACUACAUCAGCUUCAACAACUUCAGAAUCAACAACACUUACUUCAACAACAGCACCAACAUCUUCAGAAACAACAACUGCAGCUGAAACAACAACUACACCAUCUAUAACUACAACAGAGCCUUCUACAACAUCAGCUUUAACAACUUCAGAAUCAACAACAACACUUACUUCAACAACAGCGCCAACAUCUUCAGAAACAACAACUGCAGCUGAAACAACAACUACAACAUCUAUAACUACAACUGAGCCUUCUACUACAUCAGCUUCAACAACAACAGAAUCAACAACAGUGACUUCAACAACAGCGCCAACAUCUUCAGAAACAACAACUGCAGUUGAAACAACAACUACACCUACUAUAACUACAACUGAGCCUUCUACUACAUCAGCUUCGACAACAACAGAAUCAACAACCACACUUCCCUCAACAACAGCGCCAACAUCUUCAGAAACAACGACUACAGCUGAAACAACAACUACAACAUCUAUAACUACAACUGAGCCUUCUACUACAUCAGCUUCGACAACAACAGAAUCAACAACAACACUUACUUCAACAACAGCGCCAACAUCUUCAGAAACAACAACUGCAGCUGAAACAACAACUACACCAUCUAUAACUACAACAGAGCCUUCUACUACAUCAGCUUUGACAACAACAGAAUCAACAACAACACUUACUUCAACAACAGCACCAACAUCUUCUGAAACAACAACUGAAGGUGAAACAACAACUACACCCUCUAUAACCACAACUGAGCCUUCUACUACAUCAGCUUCAACAACAACACAAUCAACAACAACACUUUCCUCAACAACAGUGCCAACAUCUUCAGAAACAACGACUGCAGCUGAAACAACAACUACACCAUCUAUAACUACAACAGAGCCUUCUACAACAUCAGCUUCCACAACAACAGAAUCAACAACAUUUACUUCAACAACAGUGCCAACAUCUUCAGAAACAACAACUGCAGCUGAAACAACAACUACACCAUCUAUAACUACAACUGAGCCUUCUACUACAUCAGCUUCGACAACAACAGAAUCAACAACAACAGUUACUUCAACAACAGCGCCUACAUCUUCAGAAACAACAACUGCAGCUGAAACAACAACUACACCAUCUAUAACUACAACUGAGCCUUCUACUACAUCAGCUUCGACAACAACAGAAUCAACAACAACACUUACUUCAACAACAGCGCCAACAUCUUCAGAAACAACAACUGCAGCUGAAACAACAACUACAUCAUCUAAAACUACAACUGAGCCUUCUACUACAUCAGCGUCGACAACAACAGAAUCAACAACAACACUUCGCUCAACAACAGUGCCAACAUCUUCAGAAACAACAACUGCAGCUGAAACAACAACUACACCAUCUAUAACUACAACAGAGCCGUCAACUACAUCAGCUUCGACAACAACAGAAUCAACAACAACACUUACUUCAACAACAGCGCCAACAUCUUCAGAGACAACAACUGCAGCUGAAACUACAACUACAUCAUC
ensembl:lincRNA